CCUCCCUGUCGUUAUUUAUUAGAUUUGUACCGCGCUUUUUUCUUGCGAACUCAAAGCGCUUCACACCAGUCUCCCUCCUGCUGCUGCUCUCGCUCUGUCCCCACAACCACCGCCUUGUGAGGCGGGUUGGCCCGAGGGGCGGCGGCCGGCCCCGAGUCGCCUAGCUGGGCCCCGCUCAGCCCCGGCACCGCCCGGCUCUCGGUAUUCCUGCCUCUCGGCAAUACGGCCAUGAAGGAAGCAAAGCUUUCGGUAUUUAAACUGAAUUGACAAGGCUGGAAGGAAAAACAAGCCGAAACCCAACUUUAAAAAUGCAUCAAUGAACCCUUCCUGCAUCUGAUGAGGAGGACGGGCUCUGCAAAAUCGUAUUCCAGAAUAAACAUGCUAGUCAUUAAGGGGCUACAAGAUCCUUUGUAUAAAGAGAGGCUGCUGAGCGUUUGUGGGGAGUAUAGAUGGACACCUUACAGCGCAACCUCGUGCUUGAAUUCAGUGAGGCUUAAUAAUCAGGACAGAUGCCAUCCUGGAAAGGGAUACGAGGCGACCCAUCGCAAUGGCCGGGGCCUCGGUUUCUUCGCGGGCUUUCCUGCUCAAAGACAGAGCAGUGUGGCUGCCGCGGGAAAGAUGCACACUGCCGAAAGCCGAAUCGACAUCUCCACCAACUGCGCCCGACGGACCAGAAGGAUAUCUGAAGCGAAGUGUGGGCAUUGCUCCCAAGGUAAGACCCAGGCGGGCUCAGCGGAAAAAGCAACGCAACGUUAUUUGCCCCUUCCUAAUGGGCAGGUGUGUUGAACCGCAGUUUUAUGGCAUCCUUGCGUCUUGCACUUUGCCCAGCGCCGCUGGAUCCCCAGCUGAAAAGGGCCCUUCGAGAGUGAGAACUCCAAGGGAAUGGUGGAACGCAGCAGUGUUUCCAUGCCUCAGAGCACUGAGGCUCCCAAUGAUGGGACUUGUAGUACACCACGUCUGGAGGGGGCCAGGCAGCUGCUGGCAUUUUCCGUUCACUCUUCCUUUUUUUCAGAGACUCACACAAGGAUAGCCAGAGCAGCAGGUGGGAUAGAAUAUAGCAAUGGUGAGGAUGACUCGAGAGCAUCGAAAACAUCCGCUCUUUCUCACCAUCAGAGUUGUGUACCAGAAUCUUAAAGGACUCUUUGCACCAGUGGAUUCAAAAGCAUUUGAUCCAAAGGCACUUAGCAAAGAUCAGUCCAAGGAUGCCAUUAAUCCUUCCCCGA